rnacentral:rRNA from 1 species
UUUGAUGGCGACCGGCGCACGGGUGAAUAACACGUAUCCAACCUGCCGAUGACUCGGGGAUAGCCUUUCGAAAGAAAGAUUAAUACCCGAUGGCAUAGUUCUUCCGCAUGGUAGAACUAUUAAAGAAUUUCGGUCAUCGAUGGGGAUGCGUUCCAUUAGGUUGUUGGCGGGGUAACGGCCCACCAAGCCUUCGAUGGAUAGGGGUUCUGAGAGGAAGGUCCCCCACAUUGGAACUGAGACACGGUCCAAACUCCUACGGGAGGCAGCAUG